CCGGUGCUCUGAUUGGUUCCUUUAUACAUCCUAUGAUAUAGGCCAAUCUGAACCCUGAAU
rnacentral:precursor_RNA from 1 species